UAGGGAAUAUUGGACAAUGGGUGAGAGCCUGAUCCAGCCAUGCCGCGUGCAGGAAGAAGGCCUUCUGGGUUGUAAACUGCUUUUGCCGGGGGAUAAAAGGCCCCUGCGGGGGACAUUGAAGGUACCCGGUGAAUAAGCCACGGCUAACUACGUGCCAGCAGCCGCGGUAAUACGUAGGUGGCAAGCGUUGUCCGGAUUUAUUGGGUUUAAAGGGUGCGUAGGCGGCCCCGUAAGUCAGUGGUGAAAUACGGCAGCUCAACUGUCGAGGUGCCAUUGAUACUGCGGGGCUUGAGUAUGGACGAGGUAAGCGGAAUUGACGGUGUAGCGGUGAAAUGCUUAGAUAUCGUCAAGAACACCGAUAGCGAAGGCAGCUUACUAGGCCAUAACUGACGCUGAGGCACGAAGGUGCGGGGAUCAAACAGGAUUAGAUACCCAUGUAGUCCUGAGCGGGCUGGCAAGGCGCAU
rnacentral:rRNA from 1 species